rnacentral:rRNA from 1 species
UACGUAGGGGGUAAGCGUUAUCCGGAUUUACUGGGUGUAAAGGGAGCGUAGACGGCAGAGCAAGUCUGAAGUGAAAGCCCGCGGCCCAACUGCGGGACUGCUUUGGAAACUGCCCGGCUAGAGUGCUGGAGAGGUAAGCGGAAUUCCUAGUGUGGCGGUGAAAUGCGUAGAUAUUAGGAGGAACACCAGUGGCGAAGGCGGCUUACUGGACAGUAACUGACGUUGAGGCUCGAAAGCGUGGGGAGCAAACAGG